rnacentral:rRNA from 1 species
CAGUAGCCGCGGGAAUACGAAGGGGGCUAGCGUUGUUCGGAUUUACUGGGCGUAAAGUGCGCGUAGGCGGACUGAUAAGUCAGGGGUGAAAUCCCAAGGCUCAACCUUGGAACUGCCUUUGAUACUGUUUGUCUUGAGUUCGAGAGAGGUAAGUGGAACUGCGAGUGUAGAGGUGAAAUUCGUAGAUAUUCGCAAGAACACCAGUGGCGAAGGCGGCUUACUGGCUCGAAACUGACGCUGAGGCGCGAAAGCGUAGGGAGCAAACAGGAUUAGAUACCCGGGUAGUCCCUGUCUCUUAUAC